CGCCAAAAACUCACUGGGAAUCAGAACCCAUCGCUGUGGAUCUACAGAACAAACCCUAAUCCUACGCUGAUACAACUCCCAAAGCCAUGUCAUCGGCCCUUGCCAGGUCCGUUCUUCUCUCCAGCGCCACCAGGACCUCGGCGCCAAAACCUAAAAUCACCGUCGAUCUUCCGACGCCAGCAUCUCCGACAUAGUCUCCGAACGCAGCAAGCCUCCCGUCUACGAGAUCGGUGCCUCGGAGGAGAUAUGAUCUUCUGCUGUCUUUAGCAAACCGGUAUGCGGCGACUCCACAUCUCCAACGAAGUCUCCUAAAGCCCCUUUCGUCUACAAGAGGUCCGCCUCGGAGAACGCUCACCUUGUCUAUCGACGGUCUACCUUGAUAUCCUUAAGGACGUCGAAGCGUCGCCUCCACAUAGUCUUCAAGAUGUUUGCUAUUUGAAUCCUAAGGCGAUUUUAGUUGAGGAGAUAUGAUGUUCUGGUGUCUUUAGCAAACCGCUCUGCAGCAACUCCACAUCCCCAACAAAGUCUCCUAAAGCCCCUCUCGUCUACAAGAGGCGGCCUCGGAGAACUCUCGCCUUGUUGGUCGACGGUUUACCUUGAUAUCCUUAAGGACGUCGAAGUGUCGCCUCCACAUAAUCUUCAAGAGGUAGCUGGAUGAUUUGAAAUAUCGCUUGCUUUGAUUGUGCCAAAGAGUGGUGAAAACUCUUUUGAGAUCAGCUACUAAAGUAACUCUACCACAUUUUACGGUAAGUGUUAGGUACGGUAAGUGCCAUACCAAAACAUCAUGGUACGAGUUUGGUACUCUGAGUGCCAUACCAAAAGAUUACAGUAAAAAUUAAAUCCUCUUUCCGUCAGAGUCCAUCAUCUAGUUCAUUUGGGUGAUGGUCCAGCUGGAGAAAUCCCUUUGUUAGGGAUUGAAAUUUUGUUGCUCUUUUCUUUAUUAUGUGGCUUAUAUUUGUUGCAAUAUUAUUACAUUCUGUUUUACAUGUAUUUUAUAUGAGAUGGGGGUAAAUUUUGUAUGUUGUGUCAUAUGGUCCUCAA